UUGCCUCGGCGGGCGGCCCCUCCCUGGGGCCGCUGCCUCCCUCGGGGGGUGCCCGCCGGCGUACCAAAACUCUUUUGUAUUUUAGUGGCCUCUCUGAGAAAACAAGCAAAUAAGUUAAAACUUUCAACAACGGAUCUCUUGGUUCUGGCAUCGAUGAAGAACGCAGCGAAAUGCGAUAAGUAAUGUGAAUUGCAGAAUUCAGUGAAUCAUCGAAUCUUUGAACGCACAUUGCGCCCGCCAGUACUCUGGCGGGCAUGCCUGUUCGAGCGUCAUUUCAACCCUCAAGCCCUGCUUGGUGUUGGGGUCCUACGGCUGCCGUAGGCCCUGAAAGCUAGUGGCGGGCUCGCUAUAACUCCGAGCGUAGUAGUAAAAUAUCUCGCUAGGGAGGUGUCGCGGGUUCCGGCCGUGAAAGCCCAUCUUUUACACAAGGUUGACCUCGGAUCAGGUAGGAAUACCCGCUGAACUUAAGCAUAUCAAUAAGCGGAGGAAAAGAAACCAACAGGGAUUGCCCCAGUAACGGCGAGUGAAGCGGCAACAGCUCAAAUUUGAAAUCUGGCUUCGGCCCGAGUUGUAAUUUGUAGAGGAUGCUUUUGGUGAGGUGCCUUCUGAGUUCCCUGGAACGGGACGCCAGAGAGGGUGAGAGCCCCGUAUAGUUGGACACCGAGCCUCUGUAAAGCUCCUUCGACGAGUCGAGUAGUUUGGGAAUGCUGCUCAAAAUGGGAGGUAUAUCUCUUCUAAAGCUAAAUACUGGCCAGAGACCGAUAGCGCACAAGUAGAGUGAUCGAAAGAUGAAAAGCACUUUGAAAAGAGGGUUAAAUAGUACGUGAAAUUG
rnacentral:rRNA from 1 species